UAACCCAAUAGGACAGUCAAAAACUCACCUCCCUCGUGCAUAAAUAUUAUUUCUGAGAGACCCAGACUAAUUGAUUUAUUAUUCGUCUUAAUAUAUAAACCACUGAAAAAAGGCUUUGCAGCAGUUAACAAUAAUGACCAGCUUCUUUUGGGUCUUUCUGCUAGCAGUUCUCCUAAUCGCCAGUCCUGCGGUAGGGCAGCGGAAUAGACAAAGUCUUACUGCAAGAUGCGGAUCGGGAUGGUGUCUGCCUGUAACUUACCGUUGUCAUCGUAUAACGAAUAAAUGUUGGGACCCAAGGACCAAAUGUUGCUUAUGGAGCAAAAGAGAACGGAAUACACUUUCGUAACCACUCCUUAUUCUAAUUUUAUUUACUGCGUUUUGUCGGCUUUAAAACUCCUCCUGAGGCGAAAAAAAUAAAAAAGGUUGUCUUAAAAAAAGCAUAAAUAGAAAUAGUUUCCUAAAUCCUAUACUUUUUCCCAAAUCCUGUAUUAAUUUUCAAUAUAAAGUAGUUUUUUUUUCCAUUUCAACAAAUGCCAAAUUCCAUAUCCUUUACAAACCACAAUAGUUCAGUCCCAGACUAAUCAAUUUAGCUUAGCUCUUAAUAUAUAAACCUCACACAAAAGUCUAAAGCAAGUAGUUACAUUUAUGAUCAGCUAUGAUCUUGGAUUCUCCUGCUGGCAGCUCUCUUGGCUGCGAUCUUUAAUCCAGCUUAUAUCGAUGGCAUGAUAAGAACUCUUGGGCGUGACCCAAGAUGCGGAGAUGCUGGAUGGUGUGUUACUAGGGAAAACCAGUGCAAUAAUACGUUUGACGUUUGAUUACUGUUCAAACCGAAAUGAAAAUGUUGCCUAUUCCCUGGAUGGACUCAUUAUGAGGAGAAAUAACGUUUAGGGCAAGAAUAUCUAUAACUAGGAGAAAUGCAUAUGUAAAUAUUUUUGCGUACUGUUAAAAUCGAAAUAAAAAAAGGUUUUAUAUGUA